GAUGAAGAACGUAGCGAAAUGCGAUAAGUAAUGUGAAUUGCAGAAUUCAGUGAAUCAUCGAAUCUUUGAACGCACAUUGCGCCCCUUGGUAUUCCGAGGGGCAUGCCCGUUCGAGCGUCAUUAUACCCCUCAAGCCUAGCUUGGUGUUGGGGCCUGCUGUUACCGGCAGCCCUUAAAAUCAGUGGCGGCGCCAUCUGGCUCUAAGCGUAGUAAUUCUUCUCGCUAUGGAGUCCUGGUGGAUGCUUGCCAUCAACCCCCAAUUUUUCUAUGGUUGACCUCGGAUCAGGUAGGGAUACCCGCUGAACUUAAGCAUAUCAAUAAGCGGAGGA
rnacentral:misc_RNA from 1 species